GUACUUUAGUGGAGCUAGAGGCAGAGCAGAAAACAGGAUUCACUCUGGAUUGGAUGAAGGUCCGGCGAUGGUCCAAUUUAAGCCAAUCAGAAGCCAAAGCUGCGGCUGGCUAGUUGUCGGUUGAAGGUUUGUCGGUUGAAUGUUUCCCAGGCGCUCAAGCGGCAGAAGGAGGCGGGGCUAGAGGCCCACAGCUCCGCCCAGCAGCUUCAGCAGGAGAGGGAGGGGCUCCAGGAGAGGCUGAGAGCCUCCAGAUCACCGUGACGACGCUGCAGACGGAGCGCGGCGAGCUGGAGCGGAGCGUCGCACGGCUGGGGAGGGACAAGGCCACGCUGCGCAAGGCCCUGGAGAAGGCGGAGUUGCAGAGGCUAAGGAGCGAGGAGGAGGUGGUGCUGGGCGGCCAGGAGAAGGAGCGCCUGCUGGAGGCACUGCGGGCCCUUGAGCGGGACCUGACGGAGAACCAGGUGGAGCUGCAGAGCCUGCAGGUCAGAGGUCACAGCGUCGCUGCUCAGAAUUUGCAUCCAGGUCUCAAGUCAGACAUGGGGGAUGGCGAGCUCAGAGCUGGGUGAACGGGGCGCUUCGUAUUUGUUUCCGGC
rnacentral:lncRNA from 1 species